rnacentral:rRNA from 1 species
UACGAAGGGGGCUAGCGUUGUUCGGAAUUACUGGGCGUAAAGCGCGCGCAGGCGGCUAUCCAAGUCAGUGGUGAAAGCCCGGAGCUCAACUCCGGAACUGCCAUUGAAACUGUUUAGCUUGAGGAUGAGAGAGGUGAGUGGAAUUCCGAGUGUAGAGGUGAAAUUCGUAGAUAUUCGGAAGAACACCAGUGGCGAAGGCGACUCACUGGACACGUAUUGACGCUGAGGUGCGAAAGCGUGGGGAGCAAACAGG